rnacentral:rRNA from 1 species
ACUCCUACGGGAGGCAGCAGUGGGGAAUAUUGCACAAUGGGCGAAAGCCUGAUGCAGCGACGCCGCGUGAGGGAUGACGGCCUUCGGGUUGUAAACCUCUUUCAGCAGGGACGAAGCGAAAGUGACUGUACCUGCAGAAGGAGCACCGGCUAACUACGUGCCAGCAGCCGCGGUAAUACGUAGGGUGCGAGCGUUGUCCGGAUUUAUUGGGCGUAAAGAGCUUGUAGGCGGCCCGUCACGUCGGGUGUGAAAACUCGCGGCUCAACCGCGAGCCUGCACCCGAUACGGGCGGGCUAGAGUUCGGCAGGGGAGACUGGAAUUCCUGGUGUAGCGGUGGAAUGCGCAGAUAUCAGGAGGAACACCGGUGGCGAAGGCGGGUCUCUGGGCCGAUACUGACGCUGAGAAGCGAAAGCGUGGGGAGCGAACAGGAUUAGAUACCCUGGUAGUCCACGCCGUAAACGUUGGGAACUAGGUGUGGGGUCCAUUCCACGGGCUCUGUGCCGCAGCUAACGCAUUAAGUUCCCCGCCUGGGGAGUACGGCCGCAAGGCUAAAACUCAAAUGAAUUGACGG